rnacentral:rRNA from 1 species
UACGGGGGGGAGCAAGCGUUGUUCGGAUUUACUGGGCGUAAAGGGCGCGUAGGCGGCCACUGCAAGUCGGUUGUGAAAUCUCCGGGCUUAACCCGGAAAGGUCAAUCGAUACUGCAGGGCUAGAGUGCGGAAGGGGCAACUGGAAUUCUCGGUGUAGCGGUGAAAUGCGUAGAUAUCGAGAGGAACACCUGCGGCGAAGGCGGCUUUCUGGGCCUUACCUGACGCUGAGACGCGAAAGCGUGGGGAGCGAACCGG